rnacentral:lncRNA from 1 species
AAAUUGCUUUAUGGUUGCCUCUGUUUUGUUGACUAUGUUAUGAAAAUAAAGAAUGGAUAGGGGACCAAUCAUGAGAGAGAUGUGUAUGGGAAGCUGUAGCCACGCCUACUUAGGUGUGUCUGACCAUGCCUGCAAGGGCUUGGCCAGGGUGACAUACAGUGAGAGGUGGUCAGGUGGCUGGGCACUUUCGGUUUCACUUUCGGCUUCCUGUACAGACCAACCCAGCCAGGCGGCCGGAAGAUUAGGCAUUUGGGAAAAAAAGUGUUCUUGCUUGGACUGUUUGUUGCUUUAUAAACUGGACAUGCAGGACCCACAAGUAAGUGACUGCUGAACUUACAAAACAAGACAGUACUGAAGGGUUCCUGUUAAAACGGAGAAGUAUGCCAGACACACUGUGGCCUAUGGGCUGAAGAUGGAUGCCCCAAUGUUACAGAGGAACUGAGGGUGACUGUUCAGAGAAUUUGUGAAGAAUUUCCAAACCAAGGCAAGGACUGUGGGCGGCAGAAAUCAUGGACUCCGGAAUACAAGGUUCUGUCUCCUGUAGAUGUCAGGAGCAGUUUGGGUUGUCUGUGUCCUUGUACAGUCAACUUGUGACUAUAUCCAUGAUCUACUGAGUCCUAGAGUAUAGCCAGAGACAGACUGUCUUCACCCAGAAGCUGUUGGAAGUAGAAGCAGAUACCCACAACUAAACACUAAACUGAACUGGAAUCCAGUUCCAGAGAAGGAGGAGUGAUGAGCAAAUGUGUCAAGACCAGCCUGGUGAAACCUACAGAAACAGCUGACUUCAACAAGAAUGAGCUCUUGUUUCCCAGGCAGAUAGCUGGGAAAUCAACAUGGGACUGAUCCAGACCCCAUGAAGAUGCCAGUUCUUCAUACACCCAAGCAAUCAGGUGGCUGAUAUCAUCAUAUAAGAAGUCUGCAGCAUAAAAGGAAAAACAAGGAGUUAAAUGGGGACAUACUCAGAGACCCCACUGAUGCAAGCCCUCAUCCACUGGCUGAUGGAAGCAUAUGCAGACAUCCACAGCUAUACACUGAAACGAUCUCCGGAAUCCACUUGCAGAGAGGGAGGAAUGAAGAUCAAAUGGAUCAAGACCAUGAUGGUGAAUCCCACAGAAACAGAUGGUCUGAACAAGGGGGAGCAUAUCAACCCAAGACUGCUGUCUGGGAUGCUAGCAUGGGACCGAUUCAGACCCCUGAACGUGGAUGUCAAUGAGGAGACUUCAGCAUUCUCUGGGGUCACUGGUAGUGGAUCAGUAUUUUGACCUGGUGUAACAUAGGACUUUGAGAGCCCAUCCCAUGUGAAGGGAUGUUCUCUCAGCCUGGAUACAUGGUGGAUGGCCUAGGUCCGGCCCAGGAUGAUGUGGUGGACUUUGGGGAGCCCCUGUGGAGAGCCCUACCUUCCCUGAAGAGCAGAGGGGUGAUAGAUUAGGGACUCCUGGGGGGUUGGAAUGGAGGGGAGGGAGGGGGAUAAGGGAUUUACAUGUGAAACAAGCUUUUUG